rnacentral:rRNA from 1 species
GACGAACGCUGGCGGCGUGCUUGACACAUGCAAGUCGAACGAUGAAGGGGAGCUCGCUCCUUGGAUUAGUGGCGAACGGGUGAGUAACACGUGAGUAACCUGCCCUGGACUCUGGGAUAACCCCGAGAAAUCGGAGCUAAUACCGGAUAGGACCUGGAACCGCAUGGUUUUGGGUGGAAAGUUUUUCGGUCUGGGAUGGACUCGCGGCCUAUCAGCUUGUUGGUGAGGUAAUGGCUCACCAAGGCGUCGACGGGUAGCCGGCCUGAGAGGGUGACCGGCCACACUGGGACUGAGACACGGCCCAGACUCCUACGGGAGGCAGCAGUGGGGAAUAUUGCACAAUGGGCGCAAGCCUGAUGCAGCAACGCCGCGUGAGGGAUGACGGCCUUCGGGUUGUAAACCUCUUUUAGUAGGGAAGAAGGGCUUCGGCUUGACGGUACCUGCAGAAAAAGCACCGGCUAACUACGUGCCAGCAGCCGCGGUAAUACGUAGGGUGCGAGCGUUGUCCGGAAUUAUUGGGCGUAAAGAGCUCGUAGGCGGUUUGUCACGUCUGCUGUGAAAUCCCGAGGCUCAACCUCGGGCCUGCA